UACGUAGGGCGCGAGCGUUGUCCGGAAUUAUUGGGCGUAAAGAGCUCGUAGGCGGCCUGUCACGUCCGCUGUGAAAUCCCGGGGCUCAACCCCGGGCCCGCAGUGGAUACGGGCUGGCUGGAGGCAGGCAGGGGAGAACGGAAUUCCUGGUGUAGCGGUGAAAUGCGCAGAUAUCAGGAGGAACACCGGUGGCGAAGGCGGUUCUCUGGGCCUGUUCUGACGCUGAGGAGCGAAAGCGUGGGGAGCGAACAGG
rnacentral:rRNA from 1 species